UACGUAGGGUGCGAGCGUUGCCCGGAUUUAUUGGGCGUAAAGGGCGCGUAGGCGGCCUACUAAGUCGGACGUGAAAUCCCUCGGCUCAACCGAGGAACUGCGUCCGAUACUGGCAGGCUGGAAUCCGGGAGAGGGAUGUGGAAUUCCAGGUGUAGCGGUGAAAUGCGUAGAUAUCUGGAGGAACACCGGUGGCGAAGGCGGCAUCCUGGACCGGUAUUGACGCUGAGGCGCGAAAGCUAGGGGAGCAAACGGG
rnacentral:rRNA from 1 species